ACCUGGUUGGCUCGGACAGUAGAGCUUGUGAUUCUUGAUCUUGGGGUCAUGGGUUCAAAUCCCAUGUUGGGUG
rnacentral:tRNA from 1 species